rnacentral:rRNA from 1 species
AGUGAACGCUGGCGGUAGGCCUAACACAUGCAAGUCGAGCGAACAGACGAGGAGCUUGCUCCUCUGACGUUAGCGGCGGACGGGUGAGUAACACGUGGAUAACCUACCUAUAAGACUGGGAUAACUUCGGGAAACCGGAGCUAAUACCGGAUAAUAUAUUGAACCGCAUGGUUCAAUAGUGAAAGACGGUUUUGCUGUCACUUAUAGAUGGAUCCGCGCCGCAUUAGCUAGUUGGUAAGGUAACGGCUUACCAAGGCAACGAUGCGUAGCCGACCUGAGAGGGUGAUCGGCCACACUGGAACUGAGACACGGUCCAGACUCCUACGGGAGGCAGCAGUAGGGAAUCUUCCGCAAUGGGCGAAAGCCUGACGGAGCAACGCCGCGUGAGUGAUGAAGGUCUUCGGAUCGUAAAACUCUGUUAUUAGGGAAGAACAAAUGUGUAAGUAACUAUGCACGUCUUGACGGUACCUAAUCAGAAAGCCACGGCUAACUACGUG